AAAGCGGCCGCGCGACUGGAGCGGGGAGCGGCGCGGGCUGAGAAGAUUCGGUACAGCUGUCCCAUACCGCUUCAUUAUUGCUUCCUGCACAUAAAGUGCUUCCACUGCUUGGAUAUGAGCAGAUGAAGCGAGCACACAAUAUAAGGAAAGGGGGAUUAAGAAUGCAUCGGAGAUGAAGGUUGAAUUAGUUCUGCUUCAAGAGCUAAGUGAAGGCAUAUACAGUUGGAUGUCAUCAGCUUCCUGAAAUGCUUUCUAUAACGGGAAGGCAACAACGUGCUAUAUUACCCUUCUUCAGGAAAGGAAGCAGUUCUUCCCUUACCCCUUACAGUCAUCCGAGGAAAAAUACUACUCCAGGACUGUUGUCGAUUCAUUCACAGUGUACAAGACAGUAGCAGCUGUAACUGUGAUGCAGUAGAUGAGGCCACUACCAGAUGGAUAACUGAAAUUCAUUCAUCUCUCCAAGGUGACUAAAAUAUGAACAGAGUAAUGUCUAGAGCCAGACUGAAAAUAUCAAGAACAUCAACAAUAUUCAGAGUCUGUGAUGCUUGACAACUGUUGAAAAGCUAUUUCCUUUGAUGUUAAGCCAUACUGACAGCUAACUUUUCAAACAGAAGCCAUAGUAGCGCGUAUGUGAGUUUGUUCCAAUGACCACUUCAAGUUCUUUAAAUGUUCAUGCUAAAAACUUACCUAUCUACUCUCUAUGCCAGGUGUACCUAUCUAUGGAACUGUUUUGUUAAGUAUUAAUCAUUUCAUUUAACUCUCAGUAGUUAGUGAAGGGAUGGCUAUUCCCUGUGUUUGGCUUCCCUGUGAGUACCAAAUAGUCAUAGUUAUGCACGACAAAGAUACACAUCAGUACAUUGUAGGGUGUGUUCCAUCAGUGUUCAAUAUUACCACAGAUGACCUACUAUAUUUUACUUUAAGUAGGUAAUUUCCACUGAUGUGCAGUGUCUGUACAUACUGCUUCUUUAUGUCCUGAUACAUGGACUUUUAUUCAGAAAAGAUGAAAGUUCUAGCACUGAGCAAAGAUAUCUGUACCUAGAGAGAGUGAUAGUUCUGCCAGGCUCCUGAAAAAACCUCUAUAGUGAACUAGAACCUUCUAGAGAAGUAGGGUUUGCACUGGCUUCAUUUCACGUUCUUCAGUGCAAGAUGAAAAUGAUGUUUCUCAUAUGCCACUUCUGGCAGAAAACAGGAAGAAAGAGGGAAAGAAAGAAAUCUCAGCAUAGAAAAAAUAUUACCAACAAUUAUGUAGAGAAGACAAAAUUGAGAUAUAUUGAACAUAAAAUUUAUCUAUUUUGUUUCUUGUUCUUAACAGCACUUAAAUUUAAAAGCUACAGUGAAAAAUACAAUUUUCACAGAAUAUAUUUGAGUCAUACACAUUUAAAAAGUAUUUUUUUACCUCUAACCUCAUAAACUUUCCUCUAUCUUCUAACUUGCAAACACAUGCAUUGUUUUGUACAUUUUGCUGUUUGGGUAAUCAAUAUUCGUACUUGUUCAUUAAAAGAAAAAGACUCUCUUGAAAUACAGCAUGUGCACUUCUAAUGUUUCCAGUCCCAUAGGUUUAGUCAGAGUGGUACGUAUUCUGUUUUCCAUCCAUAAAGCCACAGAAGUACUACGGUAGCAAUACAACUGCAGGUUUCAGUAGGGCAGAAUUUCAAAUGGCUUCUGGUUUGUCUCUUCUGGAGAACUCCUAUAUGAAAACAACACGUAGCCUGCCUGUGCUGCGGAUUACAGAAGUGAGAGCAGUGGUGACUAUGUGCUGCCUAGCUCUGUGGAGGCUCCGAGAAGACCAUUGCUGAAUAUGUCUGUGCAUUUAACACAUGCUCAAGUUAAGAUUACAAUAAGAUAUAUAGAAAUUGAGAAUAUUAAGAUGCCUUAGCCAUUAUUUGUUUCAUGCACGCCAGUUUUAUCAUCUGAUUUACGUUAGCUAUCUACUUUAAACUUAUCCAGAAUACUGUUCUGCAUUUAAUUAAGUGAUGAAGUCAGCUACUUAAAAAUACUGCCACCAGCAGCUUUUUUAUUCACUAUGUAUAACUAAAAAUACAAUGUUCGAAGACAUUUCCGUUUAAGAUACAUAAUAAAAAAGUAUUUUUAUUUUUCACAGUGGAGUAUUUUCACACUUGCUACAGAAUUAAAAAGUAAAUUAGCAUAUUCAUUUUGGCAACAACAGUAGCAAAGAGCUGUCAAUUCUGUCAACAAGAAAUCGAAUAAGUCUUCUGUUUUUGAGGUGUCCCAUGUUUUGGUAAAAUGCCAUACUAUGUUGGUUAUUGUUGAAUAUAAAUGAAAUGCUUUCAGCCUUAACUUUGGAAAUAGAUUUAAAUUAACCAUUCAUCUCAAUUACUACUAAAAGCAAGUAGAGCUUAAAAUGCAACUGGUACAUUAAUUUAAUUUUUCCUUUUAAUGUCUGAAAUGUAAACGUGUAUGUAUAUUGACUUACACUGAAGCAUUGCUGGUGCUGCUUAUGCUUCUUAACAUUCAAUACACGAAAAGUAGCAGUACUUACCCAAGGAGUUUAUAUUUAACUGGACAGAAAACAUCUAUAUGAAUUACAAUGAAACACCACACUUUAAACUGGCUGGUAGUGAACAAGAAUCAUUUGUAUUGGCUGAGCUUUCUAAUAAAAUAUAAUC
ensembl:lncRNA